rfam:Oryza rufipogon genomic scaffold, chr01
AAAAAGACAAAACCUGGUUUCCGUGCCCAACAUUUUACCGUCCGUCUUAUUUAAAAAAAUUAUAAAAUAAAUUUAAAAAGACAAGUCACACAUAAAAUAUUAAUCAUGUUUUAUCAUAUAACAAUAAUAAAAAUACGAAUUAUAAAAAAACUUUAUAUAAGACGGACAGUCAAAGUUAGACACAGAAAUCCAGGGUUUGCUUUUUC